UGGCGGCAGGCCUAACACAUGCAAGUCGAGCGGUAGAGAGGUGCUUGCACCUCUUGAGAGCGGCGGACGGGUGAGUAAUGCCUAGGAAUCUGCCUGGUAGUGGGGGAUAACGCUCGGAAACGGACGCUAAUACCGCAUACGUCCUACGGGAGAAAGCAGGGGACCUUCGGGCCUUGCGCUAUCAGAUGAGCCUAGGUCGGAUUAGCUAGUUGGUGGGGUAAUGGCUCACCAAGGCGACGAUCCGUAACUGGUCUGAGAGGAUGAUCAGUCACACUGGAACUGAGACACGGUCCAGACUCCUACGGGAGGCAGCAGUGGGGAAUAUUGGACAAUGGGCGAAAGCCUGAUCCAGCCAUGCCGCGUGUGUGAAGAAGGUCUUCGGAUUGUAAAGCACUUUAAGUUGGGAGGAAGGGCAGUUACUUAAUACGUGACUGUCUUGACGUUACCGACAGAAUAAGCACCGGCUAACUCUGUGCCAGCAGCCGCGGUAAUACAGAGGGUGCAAGCGUUAAUCGGAAUUACUGGGCGUAAAGCGCGCGUAGGUGGUUCGUUAAGUUGGAUGUGAAAUCCCCGGGCUCAACCUGGGAACCGCAUUCAAAACUGUCGAGCUAGAGUAUGGUAGAGGGUGGUGGAAUUUCCUGUGUAGCGGUGAAAUGCGUAGAUAUAGGAAGGAACACCAGUGGCGAAGGCGACCACCUGGACUGAUACUGACACUGAGGUGCGAAAGCGUGGGGAGCAAACAGG
rnacentral:rRNA from 1 species